AUACGUAGGUGGCGAGCGUUGUCCGGAAUUACUGGGUGUAAAGGGCGUGUAGGCGGGAAUGUAAGUCAGAUGUGAAAUCCCAGGGCUUAACUUUGGAGCUGCAUCUGAAACUAUGUUUCUUGAGUGCCGGAGAGGAAAGCGGAAUUCCUAGUGUAGCGGUGAAAUGCGUAGAUAUUAGGAGGAACACCAGUGGCGAAGGCGGCUUUCUGGACGGUAACUGACGCUGAGGCGCGAAAGCGUGGGGAGCAAACAGGAUUAGAUACCCUGGUAGUCCACGCCGUAAACGAUGGAUACUAGGUGUAGGAGGUAUCGACCCCUUCUGUGCCGGAGUUAACACAAUAAGUAUCCCACCUGGGGAGUACGGCCGCAAGGUUGAA
rnacentral:rRNA from 1 species